rnacentral:misc_RNA from 1 species
GAUUAAGAACGCAGCGAAAUGCGAUAAGUAAUGUGAAUUGCAGAAUUCAGUGAAUCAUCGAAUCUUUGAACGCACAUUGCGCCCGCCAGUAUUCUGGCGGGCAUGCCUGUUCGAGCGUCAUUUCAACCAUCAUGCCCUGCUUGCGUUGGGGUCCUGCGGCUGCCCGCAGGCCCUGAAAACCAGUGGCGGGCUCGCUAGUCACACCGAGCGCAGUAAUACAUCUCGCUUUGGGCGUGCGGCGGGUUCUUGCCGUUAAACACCCCCUUUUUACCAAGGUUGACCUCGGAUCAGGUAGGAAUACCCGCUGAACUUAAGCAUAUCAAUAAGCGGAGGA